rnacentral:rRNA from 1 species
UACGUAGGGGGCAAGCGUUGUCCGGAAUCAUUGGGCGUAAAGCGCGUGUAGGCGGCUCGGUAAGUCUGCUGUGAAAGUCCAGGGCUCAACCCUGGGAUGCCGGUGGAUACUGUCGAGCUCGAGUCCGGAAGAGGCGAGUGGAAUUCCUGGUGUAGCGGUGAAAUGCGCAGAUAUCAGGAGGAACACCGGUGGCGAAGGCGGCGCGCUGGGCUGGAACUGACGCUGAGGAGCGAAAGCGUGGGGAGCAAACAGG